rnacentral:sRNA from 1 species
UGACAAGAGAGCGGACUCAAAUUACUGC